rnacentral:rRNA from 1 species
GACGAACGCUGGCGGCGUGCCUAACACAUGCAAGUCGAGCGGUUCAGAUUUGGCAGCAAUGUUGGAUCUGGAUAGGCGGCGGACGGGUGAGUAACGCGUGGGCAACCUGCCUUUCACAGGGGGAUAACACAGGGAAACUUGUGCUAAUACCGCAUAACAUCAUGAGAGGGCAUCCUUUUAUGAUCAAAGGAGCAAUCCGGUGAAAGAUGGGCCCGCGUCCGAUUAGCUAGUUGGUGGUGUAACGGACCACCAAGGCGACGAUCGGUAGCCGAACUGAGAGGUUGAUCGGCCACAUUGGGACUGGGACACGGCCCAGACUCCUACGGGAGGCAGCAGUGGGGAAUAUUGCGCAAUGGGGGAAACCCUGACGCAGCAACGCCGCGUGAAGGAAGAAGGUCUUCGGAUCGUAAACUUCUUUGAUGAGGGACGAAAAGAUGACGGUACCUCAAAAACAAGCCACGGCUAACUACGUG